AUUACCUAUCUAGAUUAAAAUAUCUAAAUAUAGUUACAUUUAAUCUUAACGGUUCUCGUCGCGUAUCGAUUACAAAAACAUCGAAGUACGGGAUCGAAUGACGUGCAAUCGAAACACUGCGGAUAUAAAGAAAAUAAAAAAUUUUGUUAAAUGAUUUAAGGAGAGUAAAGGAAUGCAAAGAAAUCUGGUAGUCAACGACUUCGAAAUUAACGGAAAGAAGAGUGACAAUGACACUAAAACAAUGGAGAUUAAAAUAUGAAAAUACAUACACUUUUCUCUUUGCAUAAUGAUAAUGUAUAAUGAAGUUGCAUAAAUGAGGUCAAAGGCUUAAAAGAGAGAACGUAGUAGCUCCGUUAUUAAAAGGUUUUAUAAAAGGUGAAAAAAAGAGUGUUCGACUUAAUUGGUAAAUCGAAAUAUUUGACUACAUCAAUUCGUAAUUAAGCCGCCAUAUUUAUUUUGAGUAUUGCGACUAAUUGAUAUGCAUUUCAAAAAUGAAUUACAGGUUUUUAACUGCAAUUAAGGAUUCAGGUACAAACUUUAUACAUACGAUGAUGUAAUUAAGCUUAAAAUAAAACACGAUUUUAUUGUUUUUUGUCACAAAGCGUGACGUAAGUCGUGGACGGUUUUUCAAGAGGAAAUGACGUGGAGGGAGAGGAAGUAGUUUUCAAAUUUGAGGCUCCUGGUAAAUGUUCGUUGAAGAAAAUCUACGAGUACGAUCAUAGUCGUGAAGCGUGACCAUUUAAUGCUUUUCUUCCAUAAACUUUGAUGCACAAAGCCCACACCGCGAAGCAAAAGCAAUGAAUAAUUCAACGUGAGUCGAUGGUACCCGGUUCAUAGUAAUUUCUUAUGCUGCCGGCGCCUCUUUUAAUAUAUCGUCCAUGUAUCUGUGUGUUCGUGUGUAUCACGAAUCACGAAUAACAAGUACAGUAAUGGACAUUUGUGGAAGAAGAAGUUACAAUUAUCAUGGGAAGAUAAAUAAUUUUAUAGAAUGAAAUUUUUUAAAUACAU